rnacentral:rRNA from 1 species
AUACGGAGGAUCCGAGCGUUAUCCGGAUUUAUUGGGUUUAAAGGGUGCGCAGGCGGCCAUUUAAGUCAGCGGUUAAAUCGUGGGGCUCAACCCCAUUCUGCCGUUGAUACUGGGUGGCUUGAUUGCGGUCGAGGUUGGCGGUAUUCGUUGUGUAGCGGUGAAAUGCAUAGAUAUGGCGAAGAACACCGAUUGCGUAGGCAGCUGACCAGACCGCAAAUGACUCUCAUGCACGAAAGUGCGGGGAUCGAACAGUAUUAGAUACCCUGGUAGUCCGCACAGUAAACGAUGAAUACUUGUUUUCGGCGAUAUAAUGUCGGAGGCAAAGCGAAAGCGAUAAGUAUUCCACCUGGGGAGUACGCCGGCAACGGUGAAACUCAAAGGAAUUGACGGGG